UACGAAGGGGGCUAGCGUUGUUCGGAAUCACUGGGCGUAAAGCGCACGUAGGCGGAUCCUUAAGUCAGGGGUGAAAUCCCGAGGCUCAACCUCGGAACUGCCUUUGAUACUGGGGAUCUUGAGUCCGGGAGAGGUGAGUGGAAUUGCGAGUGUAGAGGUGAAAUUCGUAGAUAUUCGCAAGAACACCAGUGGCGAAGGCGGCUCACUGGCCCGGUACUGACGCUGAGGUGCGAAAGCGUGGGGGGCAAACAGG
rnacentral:rRNA from 1 species